CCAUGGGGGAUAACGUCCGGAAACGGGCGCUAAUACCGCAUACGUCCUGAGGGAGAAAGUGGGGGAUCUUCGGACCUCACGCUAUCAGAUGAGCCUAGGUCGGAUUAGCUAGUUGGUGGGGUAAAGGCCUACCAAGGCGACGAUCCGUAACUGGUCUGAGAGGAUGAUCAGUCACACUGGAACUGAGACACGGUCCAGACUCCUACGGGAGGCAGCAGUGGGGAAUAUUGGACAAUGGGCGAAAGCCUGAUCCAGCCAUGCCGCGUGUGUGAAGAAGGUCUUCGGAUUGUAAAGCACUUUAAGUUGGGAGGAAGGGCAGUAAGUUAAUACCUUGCUGUUUUGACGUUACCAACAGAAUAAGCACCGGCUAACUUCGUGCCAGCAGCCGCGGUAAUACGAAGGGUGCAAGCGUUAAUCGGAAUUACUGGGCGUAAAGCGCGCGUAA
rnacentral:rRNA from 1 species